AGGAUGGUAGUUUAGUGGUAAAGCGCUCGGCUCCAAACUGAGAACCGGAAGUUCAAUUCUUCCCCGUCCUG